AUUCUUUGAGGUGAAAAAAGCGUAGUCAUACACCGCAUGCCAUUUGGCAAUGGGUAAAAGAGAUGUUGGAGUGACGCACCAACCAAGGAAU
rnacentral:ncRNA from 12 species